rnacentral:rRNA from 1 species
UACGUAGGGUGCAAGCGUUGUCCGGAAUUAUUGGGCGUAAAGAGCUCGUAGGCGGUUUGUCGCGCCUGCUGUGAAAACCCGAGGCUCAACCUCGGGCCUGCAGUGGGUACGGGCAGACUAGAGUGCGGUAGGGGAGAUUGGAAUUCCUGGUGUAGCGGUGGAAUGCGCAGAUAUCAGGAGGAACACCAAUGGCGAAGGCAGAUCUCUGGGCCGUAACUGACGCUGAGGAGCGAAAGCAUGGGGAGCGAACAGG